AGCGAACGCUGGCGGCAGGCCUAACACAUGCAAGUCGAACGAACCUUUCGGGGUUAGUGGCGGACGGGUGAGUAACACGUGGGAACAUGCCUUUAAGUUCGGAAUAACUCAGGGAAACUUGUGCUAAUACCGAAUGUGCCCUUCGGGGGAAAGAUUUAUCGCCUUUAGAGCGGCCCGCGUCUGAUUAGCUAGUUGGUUGAGGUAAUGGCUCACCAAGGCGACGAUCAGUAGCUGGUCUGAGAGGAUGAUCAGCCACAUUGGGACUGAGACACGGCCCAAACUCCUACGGGAGGCAGCAGUGGGGAAUCUUGCGCAAUGGGCGAAAGCCUGACGCAGCCAUGCCGCGUGAAUGAUGAAGGUCUUAGGAUUGUAAAAUUCUUUCACCGGGGACGAUAAUGACGGUACCCGGAGAAGAAGCCCCGGCUAACUUCGUG
rnacentral:rRNA from 1 species